ACAUGGAGACAUGGAGGGGAAAACACACUGGAUUCUAUCAGAGGGUGAAGGGUCAGAGGAGGGAAAGGAUCAGGAAAAAUAAUUAAUGGGUUAACUAGGCUUAAUACCUGGGUGCUGAAAUGAUCUGUACACCAAACACCCAUGAGACAAGUUUACCUAUGUUACAAACUUGCACUUGUACCCCUGAACUUAAAAUAAAAACAAGUAAUUGGCACA